CCUAACACAUGCAAGUCGAACGGUAACAGGAAGAAGCUUGCUUCUUUGCUGACGAGUGGCGGACGGGUGAGUAAUGUCUGGGAAACUGCCUGAUGGAGGGGGAUAACUACUGGAAACGGUAGCUAAUACCGCAUAACGUCGCAAGACCAAAGAGGGGGACCUUCGGGCCUCUUGCCAUCGGAUGUGCCCAGAUGGGAUUAGCUAGUAGGUGGGGUAACGGCUCACCUAGGCGACGAUCCCUAGCUGGUCUGAGAGGAUGACCAGCCACACUGGAACUGAGACACGGUCCAGACUCCUACGGGAGGCAGCAGUGGGGAGUAUUGCACAAUGGGCGCAAGCCUGAUGCAGCCAUGCCGCGUGUAUGAAGAAGGCCUUCGGGU
rnacentral:rRNA from 1 species